AUGUCGGUGCAGGUUUCCUUCUUGGCAGGGUUGUUCCAUUCCGGUUUGAUCAGGAGGGCGCUAGUUGUCGCCCCUAAGACAGUUCUCACUCAUUGGAUUAAGGAGCUUUCGGUUGUCGGCCUCAGCCACAUGNNNNNNNNGUACUAUGGUUCCAACAUGAAUAUUCGUGACAAUGAGCUUCAACAUGCCUUCAAGGAGGGAGGUAUCUUAUUGACAACAUAUGAUAUUGUCCGGAUCAAUUACCAUCCAAUAAGAGGUGACUUCUAUAAUGACACCGGCGACGAGGAGGAGGACUUUUGGAAUUAUGUUGUUCUUGAUGAGGCACAUUAUAUCAAGAACCCCAAUACACAAAGAGCCCAAAGCUUAGUUGAAAUACCUUGUGUCCAUCGGAUUGCCAUUAGUGGAACACCUAUUCAAAAUAACUUGAUGGUUCAGAACAAGGAAUUAAGAGAACGGAUAAAGCCAUAUUUCUUGCGACGCAUGAAAAUUAAAGUGUCCCUUGAGACUGGGUUGACAGAUGAUAAAAAGCUUCCAAAGAAGGAUGGGCUAAUUAUCUGGCUGAAAUUAACAGAUUGCCAGAGACGUCUAUAUGAAGCUUUUCUGAACAUUUGUGCAAUUAUGUCUGUUUCAUGUUUUUCCUUUUCCUCAACAGUAUUGAAAAAAAUAUGUGAUCACCCACUGAUAUUAACUCAGGGAGCUGCUGAGGACAUCUUGGAAGGCAUGGAUGGAGAUUUUAGUACUCAGGAUAUAGUGAUGGUUGAAAAAAUGGCCAUGAACCUCGCAGAUAUGGCUCAUGAUGAUGAUGCAGUACAAUUCAGUCAGGAAGUCUCAUGCAAGUUAUCUUUUAUCCUGUCUUUGUUGCCGAAUCUUCUUGAAGAGGGCCACCAUGUUCUGAUAUUUUCUCAGACUCGUAAAAUGCUAAACCUUAUUCAGGUCUGUUGUCAAUUCUUGGAGUGCAUGCCGUGUUUUUGUGAUAUACUAUAA
rnacentral:rRNA from 1 species